CAGGCCUUGACAUCCAAUGAACUUUCUAGAGAUAGAUUGGUGCCUUCGGGAACAUUGAGACAGGUGCUGCAUGGCUGUCGUCAGCUCGUGUCGUGAGAUGUUGGGUUAAGUCCCGUAACGAGCGCAACCCUUGUCCUUAGUUACCAGCACGUUAUGGUGGGCACUCUAAGGAGACUGCCGGUGACAAACCGGAGGAAGGUGGGGAUGACGUCAAGUCGCGAGGUGGAGCUAAUCCCAUAAAACCGAUCGUAGUCCGGAUCGCAGUCUGCAACUCGACUGCGUGAAGUCGGAAUCGCUAGUAAUCGUGAAUCAGAAUGUCACGGUGAAUACGUUCCC
rnacentral:rRNA from 1 species